rnacentral:rRNA from 1 species
UACAGAGGUCUCAAGCGUUGUUCGGAUUCAUUGGGCGUAAAGGGUGCGUAGGUGGCGCGCUAAGUCAGGUGUGAAAUCUCGGGGCUUAACUCCGAAACUGCAUUUGAUACUGGCGUGCUUGAGGACUGGAGAGGAGACUGGAAUUCAUGGUGUAGCAGUGAAAUGCGUAGAGAUCAUGAGGAACACCGGUGGCGAAGGCGGCAUCCUGGACCGACACUGACACUGAGGAGCGAAAGCCAGGGGAGCAAACGGG